rnacentral:ncRNA from 1 species
GGCUUGGUCCUGACUUUACUAUAAGCUUUAACCCAACUUAUACAUGCAAGUCUCCGCACCCCUGUGAGAAUGCCCUCAAUCCCCCAACCGAGGAAGAGGAGCCGGCAUCAGGCACGACAUACAUGCCCAAGACGCCUUGGUUAGCCACACCCCCCAGGGAGUUUAGCAGUAAUAAAUAUUAAGCCAUGAGUGAAAACUUGACUUAAUUAAGGUUAAAAGGGCCGGUAAAAUCUGUGGCAGCCACCGCGGUUAUUCGAAAGGGCCCAGUUUAUUGGUACGGGGUAAAGGGUGGUUAAGGAAAAAAAAUCAGAAUAAUGCUAAAGAUCCUCUAAGCAGUUAUACGCUCCGCGAGGACACGAAAUCCAAAUACGAAAGUUGCCUUAAUAAAGUUCACCUGACCCCACGAGAGCUGAAAAACAAACUGGGAUUAGAUACCCCUCUAUGUUCAGCCUUAAACCCAAAUUAUGAACUACUAAAUUAUCCGGCAGGGGACUACAAGCAUAGCUUAAAACCCAAAGGACUUGGCGGUGCCUCAGAUCCACCUAGAGGAGCCUGUUCUAGAACCGAUAACCCCCGUUAAACCUCACCACCCCUUGCCUUUCCCGCCUAUAUACCGCCGUCGUCAGCUUACCCUGUGAAGGUUCAAUAGUAAGCAAAAUGAGUUCAACCCAAAACGUCAGGUCGAGGUGUAGCGUACGAGGUGGAAAGAAAUGGGCUACAUUUUCUACCGCAGAAUAAUACGAAUAGUGUCCUGAAAACGACAUCUGAAGGAGGAUUUAGCAGUAAAAAGUAAAUAGAGUGUACUUUUGAAUUAGGCUCUGAGGCGCGCACACACCGCCCGUCACUCUCCCCACCACUACCUACAACCAUUUCUAAUACUUUACAUAAAAAUACGGGGAGGCAAGUCGUAACAUGGUAAGUGUACCGGAAGGUGUACUUGGAACAAUC